UCCAUAAAGGGCUCAAAAUGUCCGCGAGAGAGCCCUCGCGCACUUGACGAUUUGACAGUGGGACAGCCCUGAGCCCUCACGGACUUCCCGGGAACGCGCAAAGUCUGAAGGUGGACAUUGGGAUUGGGACAAACCCUCAGCGUGAACGCGCAAACGGAGGCGAAGUAGGGGAGGGAGGAAAAGACCGGAAAUCCGACUUCAGGAGGCGUUCAAGUUGAAAGUUCCGACUGGGAACUAGGAACGCAUUAUCAGCCUGAAGAGCUCCGAGACCAGAAUCCAGACUCAGUCCAGGACAACACGGUCCACCAGUCACAGACCUGCAGGACGAUGGAGAACCAGAACCCGGACCACAGGAGCCAAACAGCAGCCUCGUGCUCUGAUAGCACCGAUGUUCAGGCCCCCCUACAGCAACACAACUCAGCUCUUCAUGAGUUCGUAGAAUAGUGUGAUAAUUCCUGCCUGGAAUUUAAUGUGAACAAGACUAAGAAGAUGACCUUUUCCAACAAGCAGAAGAAACUGGCUGUCGCAGGCAUCACCACCAUCCAUGGGAAACCUGUAGACAUUGUUGACGAGUAUAAGUACCUGGACACAAAACAAAUCACCUUCUGGCAACGCGGUACAACCCCAUUACUUGGAUUAAUUAAAGUAUUAUUAUUAUUACUGUCUUGGAAAUGGUACUCCCUUACAUUACUAGUUACUAGGAUAAAUUAAUAAUACAGUAAUGCGUUACUGCCAACACCAUUGCCUAACUGUUGCUUAAAUUGUAGAUGUUAUGCAGCAGAUCCGUCACUGCUCAGCCAACACCCAGAUGUUCACAAUGUCUUCUCACUACACCUCCGGAUUAUACACCGGUCACUGAUUACUCUUCUUGUCCCCAGCGACCACUUCACCUCCCGUUUGUACCACCAGCAUCCCCUGCAGUCUAAAUAAAUCAUGAUGGUCUGUAGGGCUGAACGAUUAA